rnacentral:rRNA from 1 species
ACGCACGCUGGCGGCGUGCUUCACCCAUGCCAGUCGCGCGGUGAAGCGCCUUCCUUUUUGGUGGGUGUGGAUGAGUGGCGAACGGGUGAGUAACACGUGAGUAACCUGCCCCCUUCUUCUGGAUAACCGCAUGAAAGUGUGGCUAAUACGGGAUAUUCUGGGUCUGUCGCAUGAUGGGUCUGGGAAAGAUAUUGUUUCGGUGGGGGAUGGGCUCGCGGCCUAUCAGCGUGUUGGUGGGGGGAUGGCCUACCAAGGCGGUGACGGGUAGCCGGCCUGAGAGGGUGGACGGUCACAUUGGGACGGAGACACGGCCCAGACUCCUACGGGAGGCAGCAGUGGGGAAUAUUGCACAAUGGGCGCAAGCCUGAUGCAGCGUCGCCGCGUGAGGGAUGGAGGCCUGCGGGUUGUGAACCUCUUUCGCCAGUGAAGCAGGCCUGCCUCGUUUGUGGGUGGGUUGACGGUAGCUGGAUAAGAAGCGCCGGCUAACUACGUG